UGACCAUUCUAUAUUGUUGUGUAGAAUCGAGGCCAUACGGACAGCCGGGUCAAAUGCCGA
rnacentral:sRNA from 12 species